rnacentral:rRNA from 1 species
GAUGAACGCUGGCGGCGUGCCUAAUACAUGCAAGUCGAGCGAACAGACGAGGAGCUUGCUCCUCUGACGUUAGCGGCGGACGGGUGAGUAACACGUGGAUAACCUACCUAUAAGACUGGGAUAACUUCGGGAAACCGGAGCUAAUACCGGAUAAUAUAUUGAACCGCAUGGUUCAAUAGUGAAAGACGGUUUUGCUGUCACUUAUAGAUGGAUCCGCGCCGCAUUAGCUAGUUGGUAAGGUAACGGCUUACCAAGGCGACGAUGCGUAGCCGACCUGAGAGGGUGAUCGGCCACCCUGGAACUGAGACACGGUCCAGACUCCUACGGGAGGCAGCAGUAGGGAAUCUUCCGCAAUGGGCGAAAGCCUGACGGAGCAACGCCGCGUGAGCGAUGAAGGUCUUCGGAUCGUAAAACUCUGUUAUUAGGGAAGAACAAAUGUGUAAGUAACUAUGCACGUCUUGACGGUACCUAAUCAGAAAGCCACGGCUAACUACGUG